rnacentral:rRNA from 1 species
CAGAGAUGCUUUGGUGCCUUCGGGAACUCUGAGACAGGUGCUGCAUGGCUGUCGUCAGCUCGUGUUGUGAAAUGUUGGGUUAAGUCCCGCAACGAGCGCAACCCUUAUCCUUUGUUGCCAGCGGCUCGGCCGGGAACUCAAAGGAGACUGCCGGUGAUAAACCGGAGGAAGGUGGGGAUGACGUCAAGUCAUCAUGGCCCUUACGGCCAGGGCUACACACGUGCUACAAUGGCGCAUACAAAGAGAAGCGACCUCGCGAGAGCAAGCGGACCUCACAAAGUGCGUCGUAGUCCGGAUUGGAGUCUGCAACUCGACUCCAUGAAGUCGGAAUCGCUAGUAAUCGUAGAUCAGAAUGCUACGGUGAAUACGUUCCCGGGCCUUGUACACACCGCCCGUCACACCAUGGGAGUGGGUUGCAAAAGAAGUAGGUAGCUUAACCUUCGGGAGGGCGCUUACCACUUUGUGAUUCAUGACUGGGGUGAAGUCGUAACAAGGUAGGCGUAGCGAG